UUCUGUUAUCUCUGUGAAACUUAUCCAGUCUCUUUUCUUUCUCAAGAGCAGCCAAGAACUGCCAAAGGGAAGCCAAUGUCUGGGAACUACUAAAGCAGCCACUGAUAUUUGAAGAGCACCUUCUACUUUACAAAGAAUUCUCACAGGUCAGAGUUUCUGGGAUAUAGCAGCUGGUACCAUGCUUCUCCGCCAUCAGACCCCAGUCUCUUCAGCCUCCUGACAGGGUCUGAAGACCAUAGGUUCUCUGAGAAUCCUCCAGGCUUUCAGCACCAGACUGGAACUGCUGAGGCCCUCAGCCUCAUGGACUGAGCAGCACCAGGGGGAAGAACUUACCAGAAUUCCACUGGUCACACAAGAUAGGAGCCAUCUAAGCUUUCUUUGACUCCUGCCCCAAAUCUGAGCAAUUUUCUCAUCUUCAUUCUACAAAGGGGAAACACUGGUGCCUUGACCAAUUGUCAUCAGAGGUGUUAUCCAGCAAUUGAUGGAGGCAGAUGAAGAGACCCACAGCCAAACAUUAGGCAGUGUUCCAGAAUCCUGCAGAGGAAGAGGAGAAAGGAGUGUAGGAGCCAGAGGGGUCAAGGACACCACGGGAAGACUCACACAGUCAACUAAACUGGGCUCAUAGGAGCUCUCAGCGACUGAAACAACAACCAGGGAGCCUGCAUGGGACUGACCUAAGCCCUCUGCAUGUAUGUUACAGUUGUGUAACUUGGUCCUCUUGUGGGACUCCUAACAGUGGGAACAGGGGCUGUCUCCAACUCUUUUACUGGUUUUUGGGACCCUACUUCUCACACUGGGUCACCUUGUCCAGUGUUAGUAGAAGGUGAGGUGCUUCGUCCUACUGCAACUUGACAUGCCAUGUUUUCUUGAUACUCAUAGGAGACCUGCCCUUUCCUGGAUGGAGACCGAAGAGGAAGAGAUUGAGGGGUGGGAGGGGGAAUUGGAGGAAGGGCUGGAGGAGAGGAUAGGGAAGUCUAUGGCCAGGAUAUAAAAUAAGUACAAGAAAACAACAACAACAACAACAACAACAACAACAACAAAACCUCCAAAAAACCCAGACAAUGAAGAAGUGGGAAAAUCAGAAAAAAAAAAAAUGGUAAGAAUUAGUUCAGGUGACAUAUUGAUUUGGACAUUAAGCAGGCUGGCAUUUCUAUCUUAAGCUUUCCAUGCCUGUUAAAAUACUCUGCUUGCUGAAGUGUUCAACUGAACUAAAUUUCAUCUAACAUCUGGCUCUUGCGUAAACACAGCAAUGAAAACAUGUCUUGUUGCCUCCGCAUUGGGUAUAAAUUUUAGAAAUCCAAUUAAUGUUGCAUUCUUGGUGUGCACUUUCUUUUUUUUUGUGUUUGAACUGAUUUUGAGCUCUUACCUGGAAUCAUAAGAAUUCAAAUAUUUAGCAUGCACAUCUCAGCAGCACAGAGCAACUAUGUUGAAGAAGAGGGCUCUGUGGCAUUUUGUCACGAUUAUUAGACACUCUUUAAUUGCUCUGUCCUUGUAGCAAGCACUCAUCCAGUGGAUGUCAAGCCUCUUACAACACAGGAGUGAGAGUUGGAAAGGGAAACACACAGGAUAAAUACGACACGUUCAUAGCCAUUCAGGGGUUUAGAAUCUAGUGGAGGAGACAGGCACCUAAGCAAAUCAUUUCACUGUAAUAUGACAAAUGUUAUGAGAGAUACAUAUUGAUCUGGCUCCCAAGGAUUAUUCACCCAUCAGAUUGGUUGUAUACUCCAUAAAUGAUUAACCCCAACCUUGCAAUAAAGGUCUAUAACUGCUAAAAAUUGAGACGUUCCUUAAACCAAGAACAGGGUGGGGGGAGGGUGCUAAGUACUUACUGCGCCUAUAUUAUCCAUCUGGAUGGACAGGAGCUGCCAAACACCGUGAAGGUAGACCAUCCGUGUAGCAGCGCCUGUCAGUUGUUGGAGUCUGUGUUUGGAUUCACUGUGAUGAUAGCUGAUGUCCUAUAGUCUAUUUUUCAGAUGUGGACAUUAUGAACGAAGCCAAUGAAAACCCAAUCUUCACUGUCUGUAAUCAGGGCCUAUCCCAGUAUAACUCUGCAGGCUUCCACAAAGUAUAAAUGAUUUCAUGGGAUCUACCACCUUUUUGUUUGGUGUAGAUUAUACUCAUGUAUCAAAACCUCCUGUUCAUUUUAAUGGGAGUGCAAAUACUACAACUGAAUUUAAAACACCACGAAAUACACAGUUUACUUUCAAAAGCAUUUGAAGAUUUAUUUGUGUGAGUCUAGUAACAUGAUAUGCAACAGAAGACAUGGAACUCAGCCACACUGCUAAUUCUUUUAAUAGAUUUUUUUCAAAUAUUAGACAUUAUAGUUUAAAUCUCUUUAACAUUAACUCUAAUGUUGGAAUAACAUUUCAGUUAAUAAACAAUUGUGAAUAUAACCAUACAUUUAUUUUGCUUGGUUCAUCAUGAGUUACAAAAUUAUUGUGAUUUGGGUGAUAAAAUGAUAAAUAAUUGUUCAUAUAUUUCCAUAAAUUGCAUGUUUACUUAAUCCUGAAAAGAAUCUAAGAAUACAUCACAAUGGGCUAUAUAACUUAGGAGUAUCUUUUAGCCAUUGAUUUUUGACUUAAAAGAGUAACAGUAUAACUGCUCUUAAAUUUAGUGUUCACAGCUUAUGUUGUAGAACAUUUGUUGGGUAUGUAUUUUCACAGGCUAUGGGAAAUUAUUUGCAAAAAGUGAGUAGUCUCAGUUUUGAUUUUUGAAAUUAAAGGUCUAACAUUUAUUUCUGAGAAUUAUGGUUUUCAAAGGUUUGUGUUAUUAGGGUUUUCUGAAAAGCAUUGAAACCUAGACAUGAACUCAGAAAAUUUGAGGUAAAGAAAGUGAGUUUUGUUAUUAAUAUAGUAACCAUGCUUUCCUAAUAAUUUCCACUCUGUCAGUUUACUGGGGAAAGGUGUAAUUACUAUCAUGUCCAAAAUGUUCCAGAUUUGCAUAUCUUGUAGUCUUAUGAUAAGAACUUUUUAUAGUUUUUAUACGAUUGUCUAUUCAAUUGUCACAGAGGCAGUGCCUGCCCCAUUUGUGACAUUUGAGGAGGGUGUCAACAUGUUGCAGCAAAGGCCCACGCAAGGACUAGUGCCAGCAUUUUAAUCUGUUACUCUCUUUUGGAAUUUUGCUUCUAUCAAUGAAGUUAGACUAGUACACACAUUGCCUGGAUUCAUCUAGAAGAGCUGUGGUGCUUUUUGCAAUUGAUCUCUCAUAAAUCAACUCAUUUCACUCAUGCACACUUUACAGAGAUUUCUAUACUCCUUAUGAAAUCUUCAACAGUGAGUUGCUCUGGCCAGCAGUGUCUGGGAGCUGUGGUACAACACCCCUCUGAUCAUUUCAAGGAAAAGGAUCUCUGAGUAGUGUCAAAUGAUAGAAGCAAUUGAAAUCACCAGUGACUUAGGCUCCAGAAAACACUUCCUUGUAGUGUAAAAAAUUAGGAGUUUUGGAAGAAAAUGGAAACAUGCAUUUAAAAUCUGGGUCCUACAUUUGAAAGAAACCCUCAAAAUCUUUAUAAGCAUGACUCCUUCUUCACUGUUUUAACAGACGAUGUGCAUUUUCAGUGUAUGGACAACGUUGAAAUUUGGGGGCUGUCUGUGUCCUCUUCCUGAGGGAGCACAGUUGGCGUCGUUCCGUGGCUCGUAUAAAUCUUUUAUGUCUUCCUGAUUUUUCCUUUCUGAUCUCUCUGCUGUGUCUGUCAGUCGUUGUCCCUUGGGAACAGCACUAUGCUGUUCAGCACUGUGCACUUCAUUAAUAAGAAGGGAUUAAAGGAAAAAGCCCUGAUCUCCUAAUACACUGGAUAAUUUGGUGCCAUCCACAAGGCAAGAGACCCCUGCUGCAUAGAUGUCAUUAGAAAGGUACAAUUUCAUUACUGCUUUACUGGCAGAGCCUUGAGUGAAAUUCAAGACAUGUUGUCUUCUAUGCAAAGAUGAAGCAUGCCGAAGCCCUCGCCCUCUGCCCUUAAACAAUAGAUUGUAAAACCACGCUCUUUGUUUUCACAUCCAUAUUGCCUUUGAUGAUACUGGAAAUUACACUUUUAUUAAAUAUUGGGCAAAAUUAAAAAUUAGAAGAGAUUAUUGGUAUUCUUAAAUUCCAAAUGAGAGUCAAAUAUUUUUACCAAAUAAUAUGCUUGUUUUGAUUACCUACUGUGUGCCUGGCACCAUGCCAGUUGCCGUGAUUCACUGUUUCUCAGUCCCUACCAUAUUGAAUGCUAUCACUGGAAAUGAGUGUUAAGUGAGUACGCACAAAGUAAACUGUGCAGCACUCUAGAAAUAACCACAGGCCAGGGUCAUCAGAUAUCUGCUGGGCCAUUCCUGUCAACUGAGUUGAUGUUGACCUGACAUGUUUGUUGAUGGCCGAUAUCACCCUCUGAACUGAAGCACCCUGACCUUAAGUCUAUGUGGUGUAUUGUGAAGACACUUGAAAAAAUGGGCACAAACCACCCUUGGGAGGCUUAUGCCCUGGCUCUGUGAGUGCCACUCAGUUAGAGAGUGUCUUUAGGCUCUGGUGUAGCAUAUUUGAUGCCCUGAAAAAGGAGCCUGUGCUUCCAGCAUCUACUGUAAAGUUUGCGGGUGGCACUGAGAGGCGUAUGCUAGUCUUGUAGCUGUCUGGGAACUUGCACACCAGUUUCCUAGCACCGAAGAGAAUUAGGUUUAAUAGUGGUCCAUUAUCUCGUUGCCACAGACACAAAACUGCCAUUAACAAUAAGAAGUCACACACAGUUGGAGUUCUGCUUGGGAGAAGAAAGCCCUUGAUUAUUGGCUCUUUUCAAGCUCUCUAGUCUUACAGAGAUGGGUCUUCUCUCUCCCACUACUCUAACUUUUGUUUAGCAAAGUUGACAUUUGUAGUGUGAUGU